rnacentral:rRNA from 1 species
GGCCAGACUCCUACGGGAGGCAGCAGUGAGGAAUAUUGGUCAAUGGGCGAGAGCCUGAACCAGCCAAGUCGCGUGAGGGAGUACUGCCCUAUGGGUUGUAAACCUCUUUUGUCGGGGAGCAAAAGCCGGACGUGUCCGGCUGUGAGAGUACCCGAAGAAAAAGCAUCGGCUAACUCCGUGCCAGCAGCCGCGGUAAUACGAAGGAUGCGAGCGUUAUCCGGAUUUAUUGGGUUUAAAGGGUGCGCAGGCGGCCCGGCAAGCCGGCGGUCAAAUCGCGGGGCUCAACCCCGCCCAGCCGUCGGAACUGCCGGGCUAGAGUGGGCGAGAAGUGCGCGGAAUGCGUGGUGUAGCGGUGAAAUGCGUAGAUAUCAGGAGGAACAUCAGUGGCGAAGGCGACUAUCUGGCACAUAACUGACGCUGAGGAGCGAAAGCGUGGGUAGCAAACAGGAUUAGAUACCAUGGUA